AAAGAUACAGCGGUGUUGUGGUGGGGGGGCGGUUGGACAAAAGCCAUGCUUUCUUGGAACUCAGUGUCCAUUUGGGAGAGAGAGAGACAAAGAAUAAAUGGAAGUGAGCCCGACCGGGACGCCGGUGGUGGGCCGGAAGUGCUAAGGAGUGAAUGGCAUUUCUUGGGAGAGACCCUCAACCAGUGGCGGAGUGGAGCUGGAGCACACUGGAGAUGUGUGUCUACUCUCGUUUCCAGUGGGAUCAAAGUCCACACUCACAGCCGUAACCUUCCCGUUACUGGUGUCCUUUGUGUUGCCCUUUUACUUCCUCACUUGCCUUAGGGUGUUUCUGGGGAUCACACAAAUACAUUCUCUGCACUGAAUCCUUACCUCAAGCUCUGCUUCUGGGGGAACCACCAUGACCAGCUUGUUCUGAUUUUCCUGGGAUUGUUCCAAUUUUAAAAAGUCAAAGUCCCAUAUCCCAAGACUGUCCCGCACCUCAGCACCAGACAGACAGGGAUGAUGGGUCACCGGAGGGGGGAGUCCCAAACCAAGACAGAUGUGAGCACACUGAGCAAGGCAAACAGACCACUGAACCACUAGUUUGAAAGCCAAGUAGACACAAGUAGCAUUUUGUCAAAAUGAGAACAAAAGAGCAGACACAAGUAUCAUUUUGUCAUAUCAGGUUCAUUAGUUGUUACGAGCUAAAAACACUUCUAAGAGAACAGUAGCCACCAAUGACAAAUAAGCCAUUCCUUUGAAACCAGACAUGGUCAUACAGCCCCCGGGUGUGGUUUGCUAAUUGUUGGUGGAUAGAAGACAGCUGCCAUCCAGGACUCCCGCAGGGUCCAUGGGACUGGCCACUGGAAAAAGGCAGCGGGUAUUCUAAGAACAGCAAGUGUCACAGGCACUGUAGGGACAUUAUAGGUGAGCAGGCAAGGGAACAGUGCAGCAUGUUGUAGGCACUUAAGGCUCCGAGGGGGACAAGCACCGGCCAUGCCGGUUGAGCCAAAGCCACCAGGACAAAUAGUGAAACUAUACUGGGUGUGUCGCUACGUUCGACCGCAUGGAGCCAAGGUGCUUUGCCAUGGGAAGCAGCUGUAAGCUCAAGGCAGCUGGCCACAAGCCAAGGUUUGCAGCAUGAACAGGAGGAAUCCCACUUUGUCAGGUGAUCUGGGAGGCAGUUUGGAGGUCAACUUCAGCAGGCGGGGGUGGGGGUGGUGGGUGGUGGUAAACACGCAGGUCAGGGAGCUCCAUGGUAGGGAGUGCUAGGGAGCCUGGCUGGGAGAUGCUGCCAAGGUCCUGACUUUAGGGACCUGUCUCUGCAGAUCAGAUGUUCCAGCUGUGAAAUACCACAUAUAUCCCCUGCCCUGCUUAUUUUUAUAUGACGUUGGGGGACAUGCUCCCGCUGAGGGAUGCACCCAUGGUGGUGGGGGGUUGAUCUCCCUCGUCCCUGCUAGAUUGGUG